GAUGAAGAACGUAGCGAAAUGCGAUAAGUAAUGUGAAUUGCAGAAUUCAGUGAAUCAUCGAAUCUUUGAACGCACAUUGCGCCCGCUAGUAUUCUGGCGGGCAUGCCUGUCCGAGCGUCAUUUCAACCCUCAAGCCCCCGGGCUUGGUGUUGGGGAUCGGCGAGCCUCCGCGCCCGCCGUCCCCUAAAUCUAGUGGCGGUCUCGCUGUAGCUUCCUCUGCGUAGUAGCACACCUCGCACUGGGAAACAGCGCGGCCACGCCGUUAAACCCCCAACUUCUGAACGUUUGACCUCGGAUCAGGUAGGAAUACCAGCUGAACUUAAGCAUAUCAAUAAGCGGAGGA
rnacentral:misc_RNA from 1 species